CUCUAAAAAAAUCUCUUGCACAAUGAUUCGGCAUAUAUUAUGAAUACUUCUUCUCUUAUGUGGAAAUAUCCUCCAUUCCUCUCAUGUCAUAUGUGGUACUAGGGGUGGCAAAUGGGCGAAUUGCAUUGGAUUUGGACGGGUUAAAUAUGGAUCGAGCAAAAAUGGUUUGGAUUGCAAUCCGCCCAUAUAAAUAUGGGUAAAUAUGGAUUUGGUUAAAU
rnacentral:lncRNA from 1 species